UUGGGGACGAGAUGUUUUGUUG
rnacentral:miRNA from 1 species